CUCUGCACAGGUUUUGAUAAAUCUCCCCCAUUGUGUGUACUGUACAGGGCCCUGAAGAAGCACCUUUCCUCUACAUAGACCAGUGUUUCCCAAAGAGGGUGCCUCCAGCUGUUGCAAAACUACAACUCCCAGCAUGCCCGGAAGUUACUAUCGGAAGUUAUAAUCUACAUGGUGCUCGAUAGAUGGGCGGAGCGAAGAGGUUUUGUUCUGCUGAGAGGAGUCGUAGCUGGAAGAAAUCAUCAUGACGGUCUAGGCCGGAUGGAGAAGAAAAAGGAAAGUGAUCGAUUCCAAUCAGAGAAGAAGUCACCUGAUAUAACUAUGAGGCAAUGAACAUGGUCACUUGUAGAAGUACAUGUGUAGUACAUUUUAUCGAAUGCAGUUGCGGCAGAUUCAAUGUCGGAAAGACAAAACGUCAAUUGUGUACAAGAUUCCGCAGGAGCAUCUCUAUUCUGUAAAACUGGUGGGGGUUCCCCAAGAUUUAUAGCACAUAUGCGCGAGCAUCAUAAUGGGACCAUUGAUAACCUGGUGGCCUCAAAAGAGUUAACACACCUAGCGGAGAUGGUGAUCGGGACCGCGCACUCCUGCGCUCUGAAGCUCCUCCUGGAUACGUCAACUUCAAGCUCAAGGUCCCAUAGGACUUAAUGACAGGUUGGACUUAUCCCCAUUUUUGUCAUUCGUAACUUUUGUUCUGUAUUUUAUACUAUUUGAGAUUAUACUGUAGGUAUUGAUUUUGGUUUGUUUUUCCCUUUUUUGCAUAUUUUACCUGAUCACGUGGAGGCAGCAAGAGUCCCAUAAAUAUACGGGUUGCAGUGACGUAAGAGGAGCCCGGAAGAAGUGCAGUCUUGCACGAAACUACCGGUUGUUGCCUCUGAGCCCCUGUGCAAGCCCCGUUACCUCCAUGAUGCCUCUCCUGCAGCAGCGGUGGAUCGUGGAGGAUCAGGAUACCCCUUGGCCGAGAAGCGUCCCCCAAGAAUGGCAGCUGGCUAAGCUGUUGACUAUUGUUGACUAUUGUGGGGUACCUGAAUGAGGAGACUCUCUGGACCAGUGAUUCCCCGUUGAGGACUGCCAGGGGUUCCGCGGGCUCCAGUAGGUUAUACAGAGAAGUAUUGUGGCUGGGAGAAAUCUUUAUGAUGGCCGGACCAGAUGGAGAAGAGACGGGAAUGACGCAGAUUUUAGAAGACAUCAUUGAGUUGCUGGAUAAAGCAGCACUGUAAUCUACAUACCCACAGAAAAUAGAUAUUGUGCAUUGCGGACAUUUCCUUUUAUUUAUUUAUUUAUUUUUUGCUCGUCAACUUCAGUAGGGGUUCCCCGCGAAAACAUUUCUUACGAGGGGUUUCCCGAGCCCAAAAAGGGUUGGGAAACUCUGCUAUGAACUUUAACCCAUAAUUUAGCCAAAACUUUGAAGGGAUUAUAUAAUGUAUUUUACUGAUGGUCAGGAGAGACCGACAAUAUUAGAUAAGCAAGGAGCCGACUCCUUCAGCAGCAAUAUGAAGAGGGACGGGACGCUCAUAUUUUGCAAACACUGUACCAUGUAUAGCGAUGAUGUGAGAGUAACCCCUUAAUGAUCACCCAUAUGGGUUUUUAGGAACGUCACUUAUAGAAUUUGGGUCACCCAUGGCAUGCGUUGGCAGUUUGUCCCCUUACAUGCCGCGGUCACAUCAUGACCACGGCAUGUAAGGGAUCUGCAGGACUAUGUACAUAAUAAUAAUGAUAAUAUAAUGAUUACAAUAAUAAUAGUUAUCAAUAAGCUAUAAAAGCCAAUAUGAUGCCAUUAAAAAGUACAAUUUGUCCCACAAAAAACGAACCCUCAUGCUGCUAGGUUGAUAGAAAAAAAUAUAUAUUGGAAUGAGACAAUGAAAAAAUAAAAUAAAAACUAUUGGCGGUUAACAUUUCCAGUACUGUAGAUUUUACUGAUGCUGUGUCGGAAAGUGUUUUUUAAAGGGUCCAUUGUUAAAGGAGUUCUGCAGCUUAGGGGAUUAGAGUUUAAGCAUGGGGGGGGGGGGUGCGAAUGCUGGGACUCCCCGUGAUCUCCUGUACGGGGCUCUGCUGCGGCUCUCCUGUGCAAGAGGCGUUUCGGCCGCAGCAUGGCACCGUGGCCGACACGCUCCCUCCAUGUAUCUCUAUGGGAGAGGCGGAGAUGCAGCGUUCGUGCAUUCCCGCCUCUCCCAUAGGGCAGUUUGAAGGAGGCGUGUCAUCGACCUCAGGGAGGUUGACGACACGCGCAUUAGCCACGCAGAGCCACAAUAAUGCCGGAUCCCCGUGCGGGAGAUCGCGCGGGGGUUGUCCUGCGGAUAGGGGAUAAGUGUCUAAGACUGCAGAACUCCUUUAACUCUUUGCUACCUCUAUGACCCGCUCCCGUGUAUUUCCUGGUUGGUUAAAGGGGUACUCCGCCCCUAGACAUCUUAUCCCCUAUCCAAAAGGGAAGUGCUGCAGGAGUGAUCACAGGGGUCCCCAGCAGCCAGACCCCCCGUGAUCAGACAUCUUAUCCCCUAUCCUUUGGAUAGGGGAUAAGAUGUCUGGGGGCGGAGUACCCCUUUAAUAACAGGAGGUUCAGUUCGCCUGUCUUUUGGCACCGUGUACAUAAACACUCAGAAAUGUUCUGUACCGUGAGCCUCACAUGAGAGCAUUAAGGCCUCCAUUAUGUUAUUUCAGAUAUUAACGUCUGUGACUAACUCUUGCG